UACGUAGGUGGCAAGCGUUGUCCGGAUUUAUUGGGCGUAAAGGGAGCGCAGGUGGUUUCUUAAGUCUGAGGUGAAAGCCCACGGCUUAACCGUGGAGGGUCAUUGGAUACUGGGAGACUUGAGUGCAGAAGAGGAGAGUGGAAUUCCAUGUGUAGCGGUGAAAUGCGUAGAUAUAUGGAGGAACACCAGUGGCGAAGGCGGCUCUCUGGUCUGUAACUGACGCUGAUGUGCGAAAGCGUGGGGAUCAAACAGG
rnacentral:rRNA from 1 species